AAUUUAGCCUUUAGCCAGCGGGAUUCAUGUUGAUUUCCUGUGCUCCAUCUUGAUUGCUAGAUUCCAAUACGAGGCUUCUGGAAUAAAACACUAGGCAGAAUAGACCAGCUCUUGGUUUGCCUGAUAAGGGCCUAAUAAGGAAUGCAAAUUCUUUUCCAAUUUUUUCCCAUCAUUGUCAUCGGACCAUGGUACACAUUUACCCAUCCAUGCAUAUGUAAUAAAUAUGUAUGCUUAUUCAGAUUAGGGAUUACCCAGUUUUUGAGAUUCCUCCACGUAGUGGCCACAGUGAUUUCAUCCAAAUCUAAAAUACUAUUGGCUAGCCUGAGGCUCAAUUUGUUAGGCAAACCUUACCAUCCAGUUCUAUUUAUAUUGUCCCACAGGUGUUGAACUGAACUGAAGAAGCUUCUUAGAUGAGAAACGAAAUGUUUUCAAAGAAAAAACAAAGUCCAGUUGCCUUUUGAAAAAGCACUUUGGGGACAACCAUGACCUGGAUGAUUGAGAAGCUCAUGGAUGAUUGAGAAUCUUCAUAGAUAUUCUAUUUAUAUUCAAGUGACUUUUGAAAUAGGUCCAACAAGGAUCAUCAGAAGAUUGGAAAUGAAGAGCUAUGAACAGAAGUUGAAAUAAGUAGGAUGUUGUUACAAAUUCCAGAGCUGGAAGAGAUGCCGAAUGGUCACCCAGAUGAAUUCAAAAUCUUACUACCAUGAUUUCCAUAUCAUGUUUCAAAUAAAUGUGAGCAACUUUUCCUCCCUAUUGUCCAAUAUCCACACUAAGAACCUGGGAGAGAUAUGCUUAGGAAGUCCUGUUCUCUUGCCUGCCUGUGAAAAUAGUUAGCCUAAAAAAACAACAACAACUUUCACCUAAAUUUCCUUGGACUCUUCAGUGUAGAUCUCAAACUUAAAUCUUACCUUUUGUUACAUUUUCUUGUAAAAAUUAAUGACUGUGUGCUGUAGCAACAGGCUUAUCAUAUAUUGAAUUGAUGUUUCACUGUUCAUCUACCUGACCUGCCCAAUAUAUCUUAUCUUCAUUUUAUCUGCUAUGUUGCUUUGGGAGGAACUUGCUAUAAAAAGUAACAUAAAUACUUGGAAUAAAUCCAUUGCUACAUAAUUGGAGUACCUACCAUGAGACUGGUGAAGGAGGAAAGGAAAACUUUAAAAAAGUUUACUGUGAAUUUAUUUUCUUCUAUUUAAUCUGAAGGUAAAACUGACUGUGUAAAUUCUGUAUAAAUUCAUAUUGCAAUGCUCUUGAUAUACUACUGUAAGGAGAGAGCAUUUUUUUAAAUAAAAAAAGUUCCCAGUCAGACUUUGUAUGGGGCUACAAAGGUGGCCAUAGCCUCAUUAAUAGGAAUUGUCAUGUUAGUAAGUUUCAGCUAAAGCAACAAAGAGUUAUACCAUUUUAAAGAGUAAUCCACUUUUCCCCCCCCUGAAAAUAGGCUUUUGGUCCUAAGACAUGGCAGCUUUUAGUUAGGGUCAAUAAAACAUAAAUAGAGAAUCACAAUUCUGAAUGAAUAUUUCCCAAGGACUCUAGCUUGUUUUCUUUUUAGUUUGGCCAAUAUACUUAUUUAUUCCAACGAAGAACAUGUGGCAAAAUUGAACUCUGAUAGAACUGAAUAAAUCAUGAGUAGCUCACUCAUUUCUGCCUGAGCUGGUAUAUUGCGAUAACCAGUCUGAAGCUUUCUGCAGUAGAUUAAUAAAGGCUACCAUGAGA